rnacentral:rRNA from 1 species
UUCCGGUUGAUCCUGCCGGACCCCACUGCUAUCGAGGUGGGACUAAGCCAUGCCAGUCGAACGACCCGGACUAUGGCGGGGAGUGGCAGACUGCUCAGUAACACGUAGCUAACCUACCCUCGGGACGGGGAUAACCCCGGGAAACUGGGGCUAAUACCCGAUAGGUGUGGAUUCCUGGAAUGGUGCCAUGCCUAAACGUAAGCACAUCCAUGUUUGUGUGCACGCCCGAGGAUGGGGCUGCGGCCGAUCAGGCAGUUGGUGAGGUAACGGCUCACCAAACCUUUGACCGGUACGGGCCAUGAGAGUGGUAGCCCGGAGAUGGGCACUGAGACAAGGGCCCAGGCCCUACGGGGCGCAGCAGGCGCGAAACCUCCACAAUUCACGCAAGUGAGAUGGGGUUACCUCGAGUGCUAUCUGAAGAAGGUGGCUUUUCCAUGGUGUAAUGAGCCGUGGGAAUAAGGGGGGGGCAAGACUGGUGUCAGCCGCCGCGGUAACACCGGCCCCCCGAGUGGUGGGGAUGAUUAUUUGGCCUAAAGCGUCCGUAGCCAGCUCGGUAAAUCUCUCGUUAAAUCCAGCGUCCUAAGCGUUGGGCUGCGAGGGAAACUGCCGAACUAGAGGGUGGGAGAGGUCAGCGGUAUUCCUGGGGUAGGGGCGAAAUCCAUUGAUCCCAGGAGGACCACCAGUGGCGAAGGCUGCUGACUAGAACACGCCUGACGGUGAGGGACGAAAGCUGGGGUAGCGAAUCGGAUUAGAUACCCGAGUAGUCCCAGCCGUAAACGAUGCAGCUAGGUGUUGGGUCGGCCAUGCGCCGCCUCAGUGCCACAGGGAAGCCAUUAAGCCUGCCGCCUGGGGAGUGCGGCCGCAGGCUGAAACUUAAAGGAAUUGGCGGGGGAGCACCACCAGGCGUGAAGCCUGCGGUUUAAUUGGACUCACGCCGGUAAUC